rnacentral:sRNA from 12 species
CCAUAUAAGGGCUAGUAUUACCCCUUAUAUGUAGCAUGUAGCAUGUAGCA